ensembl:lncRNA
UUAUUAAUUAUUGAUAAUUAAAGAAAUAAAGUGAGUCUGACUGAUAAAACAUUUAUAUUUUCUAAAUACUUCUCUCUCUCUCUCUCUCUCUCUCUCUCUCUCGCUUUUAUUUAUUUAUUUAUUCUACAGUGCACCUGUUUUUAUGUAAGAGCAUACAUCAGCCAUUAUCUGAUCUGACUGUAUAUAACCUUGCUCCUUCUUACGAUUUAAAUUACAACAGUUACUGUCAAUCAAAAGAAAGUGUUAUAGACAAAGGUCUUUAUCAGAUUUCAUUUGCCUUCAAAAUCUUUAACUGAGACUCAUAAACUGAUUUCCCUGUUGGGUAAGUCUUAAUGGACUCUGGAACCAAAUGAAGCCCCAAAGCUUAUUUAAAAUAGAUGAACAAUCUGAAAGUCUUAAAGCUAUUUUGGUUUCUCCAAGGUAGGAACUGUGUGUGUGUGUGUGUGUGUGUGUGUGUGUGUGUGUGUGUGUGUGUGAGAGAGAGAGAGAGAGAGAGAGAGAGAGAUGAAGAUCUGUCUUAAAGUAAUCUCUCUCACACAUCUCUCUCACAUCUGUUUCACACUCCAGUACUGUAGGUGGCAGCAAUGCACCUUUAAGUUGGAUGCCAGCUGCACUGGCCGUGGCCGCCAAGUAAGGAGAAGAAAAAGUGGAAGAGUAGGAAGAAACCAACAUCAAAGAUGUUAGAUGGAAGAAGCAUAGAAACAAACAAACAAUAUGCAUAACGUGGCCGCGGGUAAAAAACGGAAAGAAAAGGGUGGGGCUGAGAAGGCGAGAGAAAAAAAAUUGUGGAAUUUAGAUACUGAAGCCGCUAAAUGUCGCAAACUAACUGAAAUAUUUAGCAGCACAGCCAGCAGCAGCAUCUCGCAGUUAAAUAUUAGCAGCAGGUAAGAAGACAGCUAUUCAGCAACAUGCCACCAGUGAUGAUGAUGAGGGACAGAAAGAUGAGCUGGUUCCACAGGCAGAUCCAGGGCAAGAGUGUUAUUAUCACCUGGACAUACCUGUUGGAUUCUUCAUCCUUCAUCUUCUGCUGUUUGCUGUCACUGCUCAACCUUCAUUACAUCGUCAUUGGCACUUUAUCCAAUACUGCUGUCUGUGGUAAUCAAGUGCUUACAUGAAUAAAGCCUCUCGCGGUUGGGUCUGUUUAACAUCUAAAUGUGUGGUAUACUUUUCCUGAAAAUAUCCAGAAUGAGUAAUGGAACUGCAGAUUUAGCCUAUAAUAUUUAAGGUUAGGUGGUUUGGGGCUAAAUGUUGGUUUGUUUUUAUUUUCCUAAAGUUUAUUUCUCCUACAAUCUUAAAAUUGUUAAAAUCACACAAUAACCUGGGUUACAGGAAUGAAAGUUGAGCUUGAUAAAUGGAGAUGAAAUAAAUUAGAUGAUGGGGGAAGUCGUGGCCUAAUGGUUAGAGAGUCGGACUUGCAAUCCAAGGGUUCUGAGUUCGAGUCUCGGGCCGGCAGGA